rnacentral:rRNA from 1 species
UUGUAAUCUAGAGAAGUGUUUUCCGUGCCGGCCCAUGUACAAGUCCCUUGGAACAGGGCGUCAUAGAGGGUGAGAAUCCCGUCCUUGACAUGGACCCCCGGUGCUUUGUGAUACACUUUCAACGAGUCGAGUUGUUUGGGAAUGCAGCUCAAAAUGGGUGGUGAAUUCCAUCUAAAGCUAAAUAUUGGCGAGAGACCGAUAGCGAACAAGUACCGUGAGGGAAAGAUGAAAAGCACUUUGGAAAGAGAGUUAAACAGUACGUGAAAUUGUUGAAAGGGAAACGAUUGAAGUCAGUCAUGCUCUUGGGACUUACCUCCCUUGAGUGGGGUCAACAUCAGUUUUGAUCGAUGGAUAAAGGCACUAGGAAGGUAGCACUCUCGGGUGAACUUAUAGCCUAGCGUCAUAUACAUUGAUUGGGACUGAGGAACGCAGCAUGCCUUUUGGCCGGGAUUCGUCCACGUACAUGCUUAGGAUGUUGACAUAAUGGCUUUAAACGACCCGUCUUGAAA